rnacentral:rRNA from 1 species
UGGGGAAUAUUGGACAAUGGGCGAAAGCCUGAUCCAGCCAUGCCGCGUGUGUGAAGAAGGUCUUCGGAUUGUAAAGCACUUUAAGUUGGGAGGAAGGGCAGUAAGCGAAUACCUUGCUGUUUUGACGUUACCGACAGAAUAAGCACCGGAUAACUAUGUGCCAGCAGCCGCGGUAAUACAGAGGGUGCAAGCGUUAAUCGGAAUUACUGGGCGUAAAGCGCGCGUAGGUGGUUCGUUAAGUUGAAUGUGAAAGCCCCGGGCUCAACCUGGGAACUGCAUCCAAAACUGGCGAUCUAGAGUAGGGCAGAGGGUGGUGGAAUUUCCUGUGUAGCGGUGAAAUGCGUAGAUAUAGGAAGGAACACCAGUGGCGAAGGCGACCACCUGGGCUCAUACUGACACUGAGGUGCGAAAGCGUGGGGAGCAAACAGG